GGUUGCCCUCACGGCCGCGCCGCCUCCGUGAGGGGGCGAGUCGGGCUCGCGUCACCCGCCCCGGGCUGCGUCACCAGCCCCGGGCUGGCGUGUGGGCGAAAGGCGAUGGUGUCACCCGCCCCGGGCUGGUGUGUGGGCGAAAGGCGGUCGUGUCACCCACCCGGAGUGAACUCCUGCGCCGAGAGCGGCCCCGCGUUCCCCCGCUCGGCCUGGGAGGAGCCGCUCCGUCCCAACAUGGCGGGUGCCGCCUCUUCAUAGCCCGCCCCGGCUGUCCGGCAGCCGGGCCGUGGGGUCAGUGGUGCGGUGCAGAAUUACCUGUGCUUAAGGUGUAGGUAGGUCAGUGAGCCUGUACCUGCCACAAACACUGCUCUCAGAGCAGGGCAAAGAGUUGCUUACAAAUAGUUAAAUUAAAAAAGUUAAAUGAGGUGAAAAUACCAAUUCAGUUAUCCGAGGAUGUGAAGGAUUAAAAGCACUCUAAGCCCGGGGGUGAGGAGCAGCUGCUUUAACCGUUCUAGAGGCUCAGACUUACCACUGCCCAAAGGCCAGCGGACUCCGGUGCCUUGACCUGCGAGCGAGGUGCGAGCUGUUCCUCCAGAGGGGCUCCUUCCUGCCCCUAGCAGAGCCCAGGGCUCGCAGCCAAGGCUCUGCGUGGAGCCCUCAUAGCACAUCAAACCCCACCACACGCCUUCUUUUCAUCUUUUAGUUCACUACAUGUUAGCUAAAACGUACGAGUACCUUUUUUGUUUGAUCUUUUUUUUGUUCCAGAAAAUACUGUAUUUGUUUCACAGGAAGAGAUUAGCCUUAUUUGAUCAGAACUUAUGGAUCCUGUCUGCUGGAGCACUCUGCUGCAGACACUCAGAGAAAAGUCUCAGUACCUUACACUAAGGAGAUCUGUUUAUUCUGUCCCUUUCCCGUUACAGCAGAAGAACUUAUUUUAUUUUCCCUCCACCAGCCUUUUUUACUAAUUUGAAUUACUAUUUUUUUUCUUAGCUGAUUCAAUUUUAUGACCACUUCCGUAUUGCCUGUUGUUACAGAAGUGUACAGGACGGCAUUAAACACAUCAGUAUUUAGGUCAGCCUAAGAGUGGACUAAACAACUUGAAUAAUAACUGCUACAGACAGCAUCUGCUGGUUUUUGUCUGAUCUUCAAGAUACAAAUUUUAAUUUUCUGUUACUGAUUCUACUUUUCCUUACAGAGGUUAAAUUUGUGAUGAUGACAUGAUGGUAUUUACAUAACUAUUUCUCCUCCAAGUGUUCUCCAGAACUAAUAAAAACUUGAGAGUGGACUUGGAUUUCUGGAAACCCUAUUAUUGUUUCCUUCACCAAAGGUUCUUAAAGGGAUUUGGUUGCUAUGGAAGAUUAACAUAAAUCCUUAUUAAAAAUAGAAUAAGGAAUAAAAGGUUUUUACAGUAAAA